UACGAAGGGGGCUAGCGUUGCUCGGAAUCACUGGGCGUAAAGGGUGCGUAGGCGGGUCUUUAAGUCAGGGGUGAAAUCCUGGAGCUCAACUCCAGAACUGCCUUUGACACUGAAAGUCUUGAGUAUGGGAGAGGUGAGUGGAACUGCGAGUGUAGAGGUGAAAUUCGUAGAUAUUCGCAAGAACACCAGUGGCGAAGGCGGCUCACUGGCCCAUUACUGACGCUGAGGCACGAAAGCGUGGGGAGCAAACAGG
rnacentral:rRNA from 1 species